rnacentral:rRNA from 1 species
GAUGAACGCUGGCGGCGUGCCUAAUACAUGCAAGUCGAGCGAUCAGACGAGGAGCUUGCUCCUCUGACGUUAGCGGCGGACGGGUGAGUAACACGUGGAUAACCUACCUAUAAGACUGGGAUAACUUCGGGAAACCGGAGCUAAUACCGGAUAAUAUAUUGAACCGCAUGGUUCAAUAGUGAAAGACGGUUUUGCUGUCACUUAUAGAUGGAUCCGCGCCGCAUUAGCUAGUUGGUAAGGUAACGGCUUACCAAGGCAACGAUGCGUAGCCGACCUGAGAGGGUGAUCGGCCACACUGGAACUGAGACACGGUCCAGACUCCUACGGGAGGCAGCAGUAGGGAAUCUUCCGCAAUGGGCGAAAGCUUGACGGAGCAACGCCGCGUGAGUGAUGAAGGUCUUCGGAUCGUAAAACUCUGUUAUUAGGGAAGAACAAAUGUGUAAGUAACUAUGCACGUCCUGACGGUACCUAAUCAGAAAGCCACGGCUAACUACGUG